UACGUAGGGGGCGAGCGUUGUCCGGAGUUACUGGGCGUAAAGCGCUUGUAGGCGGUCCACCAAGUUUGGGGUGACAGUUGCCGACUUAAUCGGCAAAGUGCCUCAAAGACUGGCGGACUUGAGGGCCACAGAGGGACAUGGAACUCCAGGUGUAGUGGUGAAAUGCGUAGAUAUCGGAAGGAACACCAGUGGCGAAGGCGAUCAUCUGGGGUUGUUCUGACACUGAGGAGCGAAAGCUAGGGGAGCAAACGGG
rnacentral:rRNA from 1 species